GACGAACGCUGGCGGCGUGCCUAAUACAUGCAAGUCGAGCGGACCAAAGGGAGCUUGCUCCUGGAGGUUAGCGGCGAACGGGUGAGUAACACGUGGGCAACCUGCCUGUAAGACUGGGAUAACAUCAGGAAUCGGUGCUAAUACCGGAUAAUAAAAAGAACUGCAUGGUUCUUUUUGAAAGAUGGUUUCGGCUAUCACUUACAGAUGGGCCCGCGGCGCAUUAGCUAGUUGGUGAGGUAACGGCUCACCAAGGCGACGAUGCGUAGCCGACCUGAGAGGGUGAUCGGCCACACUGGGACUGAGACACGGCCCAGACUCCUACGGGAGGCAGCAGUAGGGAAUCUUCGCAAUGGACGAAAGUCUGACGGUAGCAACGCCG
rnacentral:rRNA from 1 species